AUGCCCCUCAAGUAUUGGGAUGAUGCUUUCAUCACAACUACAUAUCUUAUCAACCGUCUUCCCAGUAAGGUCAUUGGCAAUUCAACUCCUUUAGAACGAUUGUAUCAUCAAAAGCCAGACUACAACUCUCUAAAAAAAUUUGGGUGUGCAUGUUACCCCAACCUUCAUCCAUACAAUGGUCACAAACUAGAGUUUCGCUCCACACAAUGUGUGUUUCUUGGGUAUAGCAACCUUCGUAAAGGGUAUAAAUGUCUUGAACCAUCUAUUGGACGCAUCUAUAUCUCCCGUGAUGUUAUCUUCGAUGAAACAUUAUUCCCUUUUUCUCUUCUUCAUCCCAAUGCUGGCGCCUUGCUUCAUGCAGAAAUUGCACUUCUACCAGACUAUUCUACACAUCCUGAUCACGGGGGUGAAUUAAAUGAUCAUGAUCAUGUGCAAAAAUCCACAGAAAAAUGCGGUUUAAAUGAGUCUUGUACAAAUUCUACUCGUCAUUUUAUGUGCACACAGGACAAAGGCACAGUCUUCGAGAAGGACCUGGCUGUCAGCGCACGAUCCCAGGCAGAUCCGCGGCAGCCUGCCGAACAGAGCGGCACGCGAUCCGGUGCAGAUUUGCCCCUGGCAGGCGACAGCGACAGCAGCCCAGGCGCGGGUCCAGGGGUGGCUCUGGGUGCGCCACGCCAAGCCGACCAGGUGGGUCACGUGGGUCUAGGUGCCGGUCCAGGCGAGUCACGCCAAGCCGACCAGGCGGGCCACAGCGGACCAGAUGCAGGCGUGGGUCCAGGCGCAGCGCCUCGCCAAUCCUCGCCUGUGCGGUCUGAUCCGGCUGUCGAGUGCGGCGCGGGGGGAGCGACUCCCCGUCUGCCACGUCGGUCGACCCAGUGCGCCGCCAGACCGAGGAACAGCGCGCACCUUCCUCGGAUCAGGAGCCGAUCCACCAUGCUGGAUCUUCUGUGGGCACCGCCGAAGCUGCUGGAUCUCCUGUGCCGCAGUCCACAGCUACUGAUUUUGUGGCUCCUUCACCUCCUCCUCGACACACCAGGUCUCGGUCAGGUAUUGUCAAGGAAAAACAAUAUAGUGAUGGUACAAUAA
rnacentral:rRNA from 1 species